CACAACUUGAAACAUUAAGCUUGUGGGGUUGGCCGAAGCUCAACUAUCUGCCUGAACAAGUUCAAUGCUUCACUUGUCUAACUUCUUUAACAAUAAACUCCUUCGACGACAUGGAGGCUCUUCCAGAGUGGUUGGGAAAUCUUGCAUAUCUUAAGAUCCUAAGUAUAUGGAAUUGCAAGAAUCUGAUGUCUCUACCUACACUUGAAGCUAUGAAAUGUCUCACCAAAUUACAGUACAUAUAUAUUCAAAAUUGUCCUCUUCUGAGAGAGAGAUGCAAUAAAGACAGUGGUCCAGAAUGGCCCAAGAUUUCGCAUAUUCCAAACAUCUAUGUUCGUUGAGAGACAGGUGUUGAUCAUGGGGUGCAGAUUGAAGAAGCUGUGUUUCAGGAAAAUUAAUUUCAUUGUAAUUAUGAGGUUCUUUGGGAGAUUCAGUUUUAUGGAACAAUUUUUUUUUAUCAAGAAUCCGAUCAAGCAAACUUUCUAGGCUUUGUAAAAGUUUCUCUCCUGAUCAUUUGGGUGGCUUAAGAGUUCCCUGUUGAGAGAAAAGAGAUUAUGAUUAUCAAUUUCCGUGCAUUGUCGUCACCACCAAGGGACAGCCGGAUGUUGCAACCAGGCUGUUUUUGAGGAAGAUGAAGCUGGAAUUGAAACUGCCGGUGUUGGCCCUUGUGGACAGUGAUCCAUACGGGCUGAAAAUCUUAUCUGUUUAUGGUUGCGGGUCGAAGAACAUGUCGUAUGACAGUGCGAAUUUGACGACGCCGGAUAUAAAAUGGUUGGGGAUACGGCCCAGUGAUUUGGACAAGUACAAGAUACCUGAGCAGUGUAGGUUGACAAUGACUGAUCAGGAUAUUAAGACAGGGAAAGAAAUGCUGGAGGAAGAUUUUGUGAAGAAAAACCCGAAAUGGGUUGAGGAGCUGACUCUUAUGGUGAAAACCAAGCAAAAGGCAGAAAUUCAAGCUUUGAGCACAUUCAGCUUUCAAUAUCUCUCAGAGACUUAUUUGCCGCUAAAACUGCAGGAGCAGGAUUGUAUAUGAGCCAUGGCUUGAGUUUGGUGGAAGUUUUGUGAUGGUAAGUAAGUCAUGGAUUUACUCACAUUUGGCUAUGAAGUGCUGUAAUAUCUCUUCAAUUGUUCAAUUGUAAGGAAAAGGAAUGAAAUGAAUGAACAAAGAUUUCGCGA